GACGAACGCUGGCGGCGUGCCUAAUACAUGCAGGUCGAACGCUGAAGAGAGGAGCUUGCUCUUCUUGGAUGAGUUGCGAACGGGUGAGUAACGCGUAGGUAACCUGCCUUGUAGCGGGGGAUAACUAUUGGAAACGAUAGCUAAUACCGCAUAACAAUGGAUGACCCAUGUCAUUUAUUUGAAAGGGGCAAAUGCUCCACUACAAGAUGGACCUGCGUUGUAUUAGCUAGUAGGUGAGGUAACGGCUCACCUAGGCGACGAUACAUAGCCGACCUGAGAGGGUGAUCGGCCACACUGGGACUGAGACACGGCCCAGACUCCUACGGGAGGCAGCAGUAGGGAAUCUUCGGCAAUGGGGGCAACCCUGACCGAGCAACGCCGCGUGAGUGAAGAAGGUUUUCGGAUCGUAAAGCUCUGUUGUAAGUCAAGAACGAGUGUGAGAGUGGAAAGUUCACACUGUGACGGUAGCUUACCAGAAAGGGACGGCUAACUACGUG
rnacentral:rRNA from 1 species